rnacentral:rRNA from 1 species
UACAGAGGUCUCAAGCGUUGUUCGGAUUCAUUGGGCGUAAAGGGCGCGUAGGCGGCGGGGUAAGUCGGGUGUGAAAUCUCAGAGCUCAACUCUGAAAUGGCACUUGAUACUGCUCUGCUAGAGGACUGGAGAGGAGAUUGGAAUUCACGGUGUAGCAGUGAAAUGCGUAGAUAUCGUGAGGAACACCAGAGGCGAAGGCGGUUACCUGGACAGUUACUGACGCUCAGGCACGAAAGCAUGGGGAGCAAAAGGG